rnacentral:rRNA from 1 species
GAACGGAGCUGAGAGGAGCUUGCUUUUCUUAGCUUAGUGGCGAACGGGUGAGUAACGCGUGAGUAACCUGCCCUGGAGUGGGGGACAACAGUUGGAAACGACUGCUAAUACCGCAUAAGCCCACGGCCCGGCAUCGGGCUGAGGGAAAAGGAUUUAUUCGCUUCAGGAUGGACUCGCGUCCAAUUAGCUAGUUGGUGAGGUAACGGCCCACCAAGGCGACGAUUGGUAGCCGGACUGAGAGGUUGAACGGCCACAUUGGGACUGAGACACGGCCCAGACUCCUACGGGAGGCAGCAGUGGGGGAUAUUGCACAAUGGGGGAAACCCUGAUGCAGCGACGCCGCGUGGAGGAAGAAGGUUUUCGGAUUGUAAACUCCUGUCGUUAGGGACGAUAAUGACGGUACCUAACAAGAAAGCACCGGCUAACUACGUGCCAGCAGCCGCGGUAAAACGUAGGGUGCAAGCGUUGUCCGGAAUUACUGGGUGUAAAGGGAGCGCAGGCGGACCGGCAAGUUGGAAGUGAAAACUAUGGGCUCAACCCAUAAAUUGCUUUCAAAACUGCUGGCCUUGAGUAGUGCAGAGGUAGGUGGAAUUCCCGGUGUAGCGGUGGAAUGCGUAGAUAUCGGGAGGAACACCAGUGGCGAAGGCGGCCUACUGGGCACCAACUGACGCUGAGGCUCGAAAGUGUGGGUAGCAAACAGGAUUAGAUACCCUGGUAGUCCACACCGUAAACGAUGAUUACUAGGUGUUGGAGGAUUGACCCCUUCAGUGCCGCAAGUUAACACAAUAAGUAAUCCACCUGGGGAGUACGACCGCAAGGUUGAAACUCAAAGGAAUUGACGGGGGCCCGCACAAGCAGUGGAGUAUGUGGUUUAAUUCGACGCAACGCGAAGAACCUUACCAAGUCUUGACAUCCUGCGACGAUGCUGGAAACAGUAUUUUCCUUCGGGACGCAGAGACAGGUGGUGCAUGGUUGUCGUCAGCUCGUGUCGUGAGAUGUUGGGUUAAGUCCCGCAACGAGCGCAACCCUUAUGGUCAGUUACUACGCAAGAGGACUCUGGCCAGACUGCCGUUGACAAAACGGAGGAAGGUGGGGAUGACGUCAAAUCAUCAUGCCCUUUAUGACUUGGGCUACACACGUACUACAAUGGCGUUAAACAAAGAGAAGCAAGACCGCGAGGUGGAGCAAAACUCAGAAACAACGUCCCAGUUCGGACUGCAGGCUGCAACUCGCCUGCACGAAGUCGGAAUUGCUAGUAAUCGCGGAUCAGAAUGCCGCGGUGAAUACGUUCCCGGGUCUUGUACUCACCGCCCGUCA